rnacentral:rRNA from 1 species
GACGAACGCUGGCGGCGUGCUUAACACAUGCAAGUCGAGCGGUAAGGCCCUUUCGGGGGUACACGAGCGGCGAACGGGUGAGUAACACGUGGGUGACCUGCCCUCAGCUCUGGGAUAAGCCUGGGAAACUGGGUCUAAUACUGGAUAUGACUCCACGGUGCAUGUCGUGGGGUGGGAAGCCUUGUGCGGCUGAGGAUGGGCCCGCGGCCUAUCAGCUUGUUGGUGGGGUGANGGCCUACCAAGGCGACGACGGGUAGCCGGCCUGAGAGGGCGACCGGCCACACUGGGACUGAGACACGGCCCAGACUCCUACGGGAGGCAGCAGUGGGGAAUCUUGCGCAAUGGGCGAAAGCCUGACGCAGCGACGCCGCGUGAGGGAUGACGGCCUCGGUUGUAAC